rnacentral:lncRNA from 1 species
CUACCCAUUAGCUAUCUCAACUUAUAAAUAUGUUAGACACCAUUGUGGAAAGGAAACAAGACUGACAGUUUGUGGGGGAAGGGCCCAACUGGGAGUGGCAGUUGGGUCAGGUGACUAGUCCUUCCUUCCUGCGAGGUGGGUCUUGCUUCCUGGGAUUGGAGGGGAGAGGAGCUUGUUCAGCCCAGUCUGGAGAGGCAUGCUCUUCUUGGUUCAGCCCGAAGACACAGGCUUCUGAAGGGCUAGUGGAUGGUGCACAAGACCAGAAUGCAGGUACAAUAAUUGAAAUCUCAAGUGAUGUACCAGAAGAGGUUUGGGCUAAGCAUUCUACAGAUGUAAGUAUUCUAAAAUCUGCAACACCAGUAAGAGUAGAAGUCAAAGAAGGAACGCC